AAAUUCGAGUAAUCGCUGCAUAGCUUGACUAUGUAGAGGAAAGUCCAUGCUCACACGGAUCUGAGAUGACCGUAGUGUUCGUGCUUACUGAAAAAAUAAGGUAAGGCAAAGCUUAGCUUUGACGGCGGAAGAAAUGCCUAAGUCUUUGGAUAUGGCAUACACUUCCUGAAAGUGCCACAGUGACGAAGCUUGCGGGGAAACCUGCAAGGUGGAACGAGGUAAACCCCACGAGUGAGAAACCCAAAUUAUGGUAGGGGCACUCUCCAAAAGGAAAUGAACGGAUGGAGGGACGCACAAGUUUACUUUUGCGUAGAUAGAUGAUUACUGCCUGGCAGUACGAGGGCAUUGCCCGUUUGAGUACUCAGGAACAAAACAUGGCUUACUGAA
rnacentral:RNase_P_RNA from 2 species